GACGAACGCUGGCGGCGUGCUUAACACAUGCAAGUCGAACGGAAAGGCCCUGCUUGCAGGGUACUCGAGUGGCGAACGGGUGAGUAACACGUGGGUGAUCUGCCCUGCACUUCGGGAUAAGCCUGGGAAACUGGGUCUAAUACCGGAUAGGAGCCAUUUUUGUGGUGGGGGUGGGAAGGUUUUUCGGUGGAGGAUGGGCUCGCGGCCUAUCAGCUUGUUGGUGGGGUAAUGGCCUACCAAGGCGGCGACGGGUAGCCGGCCUGAGAGGGUGGACGGCCACAUUGGGACUGAGAUACGGCCCAGACUCCUACGGGAGGCAGCAGUGGGGAAUAUUGCACAAUGGGCGGAAGCCUGAUGCAGCGACGCCGCGUGGGGGAUGACGGCCUUCGGGUUGUAAACUCCUUUCGCUAGGGACGAAGCUUUUUGUGACGGUACCUAGAUAAGAAGCACCGGCUAACUACGU
rnacentral:rRNA from 1 species